AUAGCUCCUUAAUCUUAUCAGCACCAAUUAAAUUCGUAUCAACUUAGGCAAAUUAAGACUCUUUUACAGUCUCUUACUUCAUGAAUUCAUGUAAAUUCUUUUAAAACAUGCUAUUUCAACUUCAAAAUACAUUCAUCUCAAACCUCCUAAUAAACCCGACUCUGUUCUUGCCUUUCUCACCAAUAAUGGCUUCUCAAAAAGAAAAAUCACGAACCUCAUCAAGAAAUUCCCAGCAGUAU
rnacentral:lncRNA from 1 species